UACAGAGGGGGCGAGCGUUGUUCGGAAUUACUGGGCGUAAAGGGCGCGUAGGCGGCCUGCUAAGUCGAACGUGAAAUCCCCGGGCUCAACCCGGGAACUGCGUCCGAUACUGGUGGGCUUGAAUCCGGGAGAGGGAUGUGGAAUUCCAGGUGUAGCGGUGAAAUGCGUAGAUAUCUGGAGGAACACCGGUGGCGAAGGUGGCAUCCUGGACCGGUAUUGACGCUGAGGCGCGAAAGCUAGGGGAGCAAACGGG
rnacentral:rRNA from 1 species